rnacentral:lncRNA from 1 species
UAUGAUCUACGGCUUCGGUGGUUUUAGCCUAACUGUGCGAUGCUACUGUCAUUUCCUAAUAGCUAAUAGUGACCUUUGUUUCCUACGCCAACCAAAGGUGAAUUCCACAUCUCUGGUCACAUCUGCCAAACUACUGAAAACUGAGCCUUCAAGCUUCUGACCGCAAAGGAUGACUUAUCGGAUAUAUGUGGAAGACACAUUCUGUCUGAGCUCUGCAUGCCUCUUCCUUGUCUAACUGGUUCUUCUUGAAUAUCAUUGCAUGGAGACGCC